GUCUUUGCGCUUGUGGCAAUGAAACAGCUAGUGAGAUUCUAACCGAGGCACGUCUAUUACUGGUUGAAAACUAUAUUCAAACCCCCUCUUAAGGGUAAAGUCCUACAAAUUUUGUUCUAUCCUUUAAAAUUUAUUUUAAGUACUAUAUUGC